rnacentral:rRNA from 1 species
GAGUUUGAUCCUGGCUCAGGAUGAACGCUAGCGGCAGGCUUAACACAUGCAAGUCGAGGGGCAGCGCGGGGCGGCAACGUCCUGGCGGCGACCGGCGGAAGGGUGCGUAACGCGUGAGGAACCUGCCUUGAAGAGGGGGACAACAGUUGGAAACGACUGCUAAUACCGCAUGAAGCAUAGGGGUCGCAUGAUCUUUAUGCCAAAGAUUUAUCGCUUCAAGAUGGCCUCGCGUCUGAUUAGCUAGUUGGCGGGGUAACGGCCCACCAAGGCGACGAUCAGUAGCCGGACUGAGAGGUUGAACGGCCACAUUGGGACUGAGAUACGGCCCAGACUCCUACGGGAGGCAGCAGUGGGGAAUAUUGGGCAAUGGGCGCAAGCCUGACCCAGCAACGCCGCGUGAAGGAAGAAGGCUUUCGGGUUGUAAACUUCUUUUAAGAGGGAAGAGCAGAAGACGGUACCUCUAGAAUAAGCCACGGCUAACUACGUGCCAGCCGCCGCGGUAAUAC